GCAACCUGCCUUUCAGAGGGGGAUAACGUCUUGAAAAGGACGCUAAUACCGCAUGAUAUUAUGGAGCCACAUGGCUCUAUAAUCAAAGGAGCAAUCCGCUGAAAGAUGGGCUCGCGUCCGAUUAGGUAGUUGGCGGGAUAACAGCCCACCAAGCCGACGAUCGGUAGCCGGACUGAGAGGUUGAACGGCCACAUUGGGACUGAGACACGGCCCAGACUCCUACGGGAGGCAGCAGUGAGGGAUAUUGGUCAAUGGGGGAAACCCUGAACCAGCAACGCCGCGUGAGGGAUGACGGCCUUCGGGUUGUAAACCUCUGUCCUCUGUGAAGAUAAUGACGGUAGCAGAGGAGGAAGCUCCGGCUAACUACGUGCCAGCAGCCGCGGUAAUACGUAGGGAGCAAGCGUUGUCCGGAUUUACUGGGUGUAAAGGGUGCGUAGGCGGUUUGGUAAGUCAGAAGUGAAAUCCAUGGGCUUAACCCAUGAACUGCUUUUGAAACUAUCGAACUUGAGUGAAGUAGAGGUAGGCGGAAUUCCCGGUGUAGCGGUGAAAUGCGUAGAGAUCGGGAGGAACACCAGUGGCGAAGGCGGCCUACUGGGCUUUAACUGACGCUGAGGCACGAAAGCAUGGGUAGCAAACAGGAUUAGAUACCCUGGUAGUCCAUGCCGUAGACGAUGAUGACUAGGUGUGGGGGGUCUGACCCCUCCG
rnacentral:rRNA from 1 species